AUUGAACGCUGGCGGCAGGCCUAACACAUGCAAGUCGAGCGGAUGAAGGGAGCUUGCUCCUGGAUUCAGCGGCGGACGGGUGAGUAAUGCCUAGGAAUCUGCCUGGUAGUGGGGGAUAACGUCCGGAAACGGGCGCUAAUACCGCAUACGUCCUGAGGGAGAAAGUGGGGGAUCUUCGGACCUCACGCUAUCAGAUGAGCCUAGGUCGGAUUAGCUAGUUGGUGGGGUAAAGGCCUACCAAGGCGACGAUCCGUAACUGGUCUGAGAGGAUGAUCAGUCACACUGGAACUGAGACGCGGUCCAGAGUCCUACGGGAGGCAGCAGUGGGGAAUACUGGACGAUGGGCGAAAGCCUGCUCCAGCCAUGCCGCGUGUGUGAAGAAGGUCUUCGGAUUGUAAAGCACUUUAAGUUGGGAGGACGGGCAGUAAGUUAAUACCUUGCUGUUUUGACGUUACCAACAGAAUAAGCACCGGCUAACUUCGUG
rnacentral:rRNA from 1 species